GCUGGGCACGGUGGCGGGCGCCUGUAAUCCCAGCUACUUGGGAGGCUGAGGUGGGAGGAUAGCUUGAGCCUGGGAGGUCGAGGCUGCAGUGAGCCAUGAUUGCACCACUGCACUCCAGCCUGGGUGACAGAGCAAGACCCUGUUUCAA
rnacentral:SRP_RNA from 1 species